rnacentral:rRNA from 1 species
UACGAAGGGGGCUAGCGUUGCUCGGAAUCACUGGGCGUAAAGGGUGCGUAGGCGGGUCUUUAAGUCAGGGGUGAAAUCCUGGAGCUCAACUCCAGAACUGCCUUUGAUACUGAGGAUCUUGAGUUCGGGAGAGGUGAGUGGAACUGCGAGUGUAGAGGUGAAAUUCGUAGAUAUUCGCAAGAACACCAGUGGCGGAAGGCGGCUCACUGGCCCGAUACUGACGCUGAGGCA